rnacentral:rRNA from 1 species
UCCUACGGGGGGCAGCAGUGGGGAAUAUUGCACAAUGGGGGUAACCCUGAUGCAGCGACGCCGCGUGAGUGAAGAAGUAUUUCGGUAUGUAAAGCUCUAUCAGCAGGGAAGAAAAUGACGGUACCUGACUAAGAAGCCCCGGCUAACUACGUGCCAGCAGCCGCGGUAAUACAUAGGGGGCAAGCGUUAUCCGGAUUUACUGGGUGUAAAGGGAGCGUAGACGGCGCGGCAAGUCUGAAGUGAAAGGCAGGGGCUUAACCCCUGAACUGCUUUGGAAACUGCCAUGCUAGAGUGCUGGAGAGGUA